CAAAAAGGUCUCGUUGGUGACCAGCGGAGGGAUCAUUACCGAGUUUACAACUCCCAAACCCCAAUGUGAACGUUACCAAUCUGUUGCCUCGGCGGGAUUCUCUUGCCCCGGGCGCGUCGCAGCCCCGGAUCCCAUGGCGCCCGCCGGAGGACCAACUCCAAACUCUUUUUUCUCUCCGUCGCGGCUCCCGUCGCGGCUCUGUUUUAUUUUUGCUCUGAGCCUUUCUCGGCGACCCUAGCGGGCGUCUCGAAAAUGAAUCAAAACUUUCAACAACGGAUCUCUUGGUUCUGGCAUCGAUGAAGAACGCAGCGAAAUGCGAUAAGUAAUGUGAAUUGCAGAAUUCAGUGAAUCAUCGAAUCUUUGAACGCACAUUGCGCCCGCCAGUAUUCUGGCGGGCAUGCCUGUCCGAGCGUCAUUUCAACCCUCGAACCCCUCCGGGGGGUCGGCGUUGGGGAUCGGCCCCUCACCGGGCCGCCCCCGAAAUACAGUGGCGGUCUCGCCGCAGCCUCUCCUGCGCAUAUUUUGGCACUCACACCGGAAGCUCGGCGCGACCUUAGCCGUAAAACAGCCCAGCUUCUGAAGUGUGGACCUCACAUCAGAUACAAAUACCCGCUUAACUUACUCAUACCGAAGAGAAGGA
rnacentral:rRNA from 1 species